UACGUAGGGUGCAAGCGUUGUCCGGAAUUAUUGGGCGUAAAGAGCUCGUAGGCGGUUUGUCGCGUCUGCUGUGAAAACUCGGGGCUUAACUCCGGGCCUGCAGUGGGUACGGGCAGACUAGAGUGCGGUAGGGGAGACUGGAAUUCCUGGUGUAGCGGUGAAAUGCGCAGAUAUCAGGAGGAACACCGGUGGCGAAGGCGGUUCUCUGGGCCUUACCUGACGCUGAGGAGCGAAAGCGUGGGGAGCGAACAGG
rnacentral:rRNA from 1 species